UAAGGGAGGUAGGGGUUAACUGAGUCUGUAGCUGUGUUUGAUAAGGGAGGUAGGGGUUAAUGGAGUCUGUAGCUGUGUUUGAUAAGGGAGGUAGGGGUUAAUGGAGUCUGUAGCUGUGUUUGAUAAGGGAGGUAGGGGUUAACUGAGUCUGUAGCUGUGUUUGAUAAGGGAGGUAGGGGUUAAUGGAGUCUGUAGCUGUGUUUGAUAAGGGAGGUAGGGGUUAACUGAGUCUGUAGCUGUGUUUGAUAAGGGAGGUAGGGGUUAAUGGAGUCUGUAGCUGUGUUUGAUAAGGGAGGUAGGGGUUAACUGAGUCUGUAGCUGUGUUUGAUAAGGGAGGUAGGGGUUAACUGAGUCUGUAGCUGUGUUUGAUAAGGGAGGUAGGGGUUAACUGAGUCUGUAGCUGUGUUUGAUAAGGGAGGUAGGGGUUAACUGAGUCUGUAGCUGUGUUUGAUAAGGGAGGUAGGGGUUAACUGAGUCUGUAGCUGUGUUUGAUAAGGGAGGUAGGGGUUAACUGAGUCUGUAGCUGUGUUUGAUAAGGGAGGUAGGGGUUAACUGAGUCUGUAGCUGUGUUUGAUAAGGGAGGUAGGGGUUAACUGAGUCUGUAGCUGUGUUUGAUAAGGGAGGUAGGGGUUAAUGGAGUCUGUAGCUGUGUUUGAUAAGGGAGGUAGGGGUUAAUGGAGUCUGUAGCUGUGUUUGAUAAGGGAGGUAGAGGUUAACUGAGUCUGUAGCUGUGUUUGAUAAGGGAGGUAGGGGUUAAUGGAGUCUGUAGCUGUGUUUGAAGGGUUUAGCUGGUGUUUAUACUGUUUUUAAUCCAGGUGUGUCAGUGGGCUGAUGAGCAGUAAAGCCCAGGGUCGUCAGGAUGGAAAGUGAUUAGGAUGUGGGUGGAGCGGCGGAAGGAGAGCUUUCGGGUUUUACAUUUGGAAAGGUACACACACACACACACACACACACACACACACACACACACACACACACACACACACACACACACACACACACACACACACACACACACACACACACACACACACACACACACACACACACUCAUGCGCGUACAACUACCCCCCCACCCACACACAGCUGUCUGUCUGUCACUUAGCCCCAUCCUCCUCCUGUUCUACUAUGAGUCUCUGUCUGUCACUUAGCCCCAUCCUCCUCCUGUUCUACUAUGAGUCUCUGUCUGUCACUUAGCCCCAUCCUCCUCCUGUUCUACUAUGAGUCUCUGUCUGUCACUUAGCCCCAUCCUCCUCCUGUUCUACUAUGAGUCUCUGUCUGUCACUUAGCCCCAUCCUCCUCCUGUUCUACUAUGAGUCUCUGUCUGUCACUUAGCCCCAUCCUCCUCCUGUUAUACUAUGAGUCUCUGUCUGUCACUUAGCCCCAUCCUCCUCCUGUUAUACUAUGAGUCUCUGUCUGUCACUUAGCCCCAUCCUCCUCCUGUUUACUAUGAGUCUCUGUCUGUC